AUCGCUUCUCGCCUUUUGGCUAAGAUCAAGUGUAGUAUCUGUUCUUAUCAGUUUAAUAUCUGAUACGCCCCGAUUCGGGGCAACGAUAAACGCAUUUUUAGAACAGGGAGCUGAAUAAGGGGCUCGCUCCGUUCGCUCCACGCAUCGACCGGUAUUGCAGCGCCCGGGAACGGUGCCCCUUUG
ensembl:snRNA U2 U2 spliceosomal RNA